GGGCCCGUAGCUCAGUUGGUUAGAGCAGCUGACUCAUAAUCAGCGGGUCAGAGGUUCAAGUCCUCUCGGGCCCACCA
rnacentral:tRNA from 1 species